GAUAACUCAUCACUCGGCUGGUAGGAAGUUGUUGCUUAUCUGAGGACAGCCAGAAAUGGCAGCAUGGCUCUCAGAAAGGAUUUGUAGUCAAAACCAGUAACUCUCUGGGUGUCGGAUGUGAACAAGGGCUGCUUAGUCCCGACCGUUACUUGCUUCUACUGUUUCUUGAACAAAGGGCUAUCUCUGCUUCCUGCUUCAAUAAAUGAGGUCCCUAUCGCUACAAGCAGUGAUGUGUUCCUCACCCUGCCCAAGAGCCUGCAGACACAAGAUGCCAGCAUUUGGUUAAAUUUGAAAAUCAUACUUAGAGAGGCCACAGAGAAAUGCAAGCUACAUCACAGUGGGACAUGUGAGAGGCUGUUACCAGAUGACAGAAAGCAAAAGUUACGUUUCCAUAGGAGAAAGGGUAAUAAAACUUAAGAACCUCCAGUCUCCUGACCCUUCAGACUCUCAUGUCCUUCCUGGAAAAGGAUUAUACAGGGCUGCUCACCACCUCUGUCUUAUACUCAGCCCUGCGACAACUCUGGAAAGACAAACAAAUAACUUACAUAGG
rnacentral:lncRNA from 10 species